UACAGAGGGGGCUAGCGUUGUUCGGAAUUACUGGGCGUAAAGGGCGCGUAGGUGGCCUGUUAAGUCGAACGUGAAAUCCCCGGGCUCAACCCGGGAACUGCGUCCGAGACUGAUAGGCUCGAAUCCGGGAGAGGGAUGUGGAAUUCCAGGUGUAGCGGUAAAAUGCGUAGAUAUCUGGAGGAACACCGGUGGCGAAGGCGGCAUCCUGGACCGGUAUUGACGCUGAGGCGCGAAAGCCAGGGGAGCAAACGGGAUUAGAUACCCCGGUAGUCCUGGCCCUAAACGAUGAAUGCUUGGUGUGGCGGGUAUCGAUCCCUGCCGUGCCGAAGCUAACGCAUUAAGCAUUCCGCCUGGGGAGUACGGUCGCAAGGCUGAA
rnacentral:rRNA from 1 species